rnacentral:rRNA from 1 species
GAUUGCAGGCUGCAACCCGCCUGUAUGAAGUUGGAAUCGCUAGUAAUCGCGGAUCAGCAUGCCGCGGUGAAUACGUUCCCGGGCCUUGUACACACCGCCCGUCACACCAUGAGAGUCGGGAACACCCGAAGUCCGUAGUCUAACUUUCACGAGAGGACGCGGCCGAAGGUGGGUUCGAUAAUUGGGGUGAAGUCGUAACAAGGUACC